GGCCGUUCUCGGAUGACACACCCCGGAAUCAGGCUCCCUUCUCUCUGGUUCCGGGUGCAUCACCCAAGAACCAUA
rfam:Myotis lucifugus cont2.38885, whole genome shotgun sequence.